UCAAAUAGAAUAUAGCGACCGAACAGCCAAUCAAAAAUAGCCUUGCUGUAUCCGGGUCAGAUUUAGGUAUUCAUCCUACAACAACGUUAUCUCACUACUCUGAUGACCGACGUGGAAGAGGACGGUGUCCUAUGAGGACGAUGUCAGCGAAGGCAAAUGAGCAUUCUUUUAUGCUUCGCUCAGAAGAAUCAGCUCCCUAAAAAGGUGGCCAGGUUAGAGGAGGAGACAGCUAGGCCAGGAAGUCCGGGACAUCCCCUACGUGGACCCACUAAACCAACUGCCAGCAGCAAGAAGAAGGAUGCAACACGGCUGGACAGACUGGUGCGGAGUGCAGCAUCUGUGGUGGGCACAGAGCUGAACACUGUAGUGUCAGUAGCAGAAAACGGACCCUGGAUAAGAUCCUGUCCAUACUGGACAACGCCU